UAUCACUCAGGCAACGCCCUUAUCAGCUGUAGUUCUUUUUCAAUAUGGGGUAUAAGGAGGAGGAAAGUGGAUCUGUAUCAUUACCUCAACAUUCGUACUGGUUUGAUUUCUGCCUGUUUAUUCUUUUUAAUAUCGCAUUUUUCCUUGUGAUCUAUUUUUUUGUCCCAUAACACUGCGGAUGAGGCCAAACUACGUUACUGGGACCAAAGAAGGAGCAGUGGUUACAUCUGUACACGUUUUCUGGGAGGUCGGCCGUGUGGAAGCUUAACCACAAUUGGAUCCUGCCACCAGCAGUUUUUAAAAUGCUAAUUUAUUAUGAUUUUUCCCCCCCUCCCUAAGAUCAAAAUGUUUCCAUCUUGACAUUUUCGCAGUAUUUCUGGCUUUUGAGAAGCAUCUAUAUUUUGUUAUGCAUGGAUUCAAAAGCGCUUUAUACCUGAUCUGUAGGUCUAGAGCUGUAACUAAUACGCGAGCCAAAGCGAUCAACCAUUUAUAACCGGAUCGGUUUUUUCUAUAAAAUCAUGACCUGAAACUGAUGCAUGAAUCAGAGUUUGUAAAUGAUCUCAGGAAAACUUUGUUGAAUUGGUCAGGGUAUAGUUUCUCCAGCUUGGAAAAUGUUAAAGAACCACAUUUGUAUGGUUAAACAAUUUACAUUUAUUUACACUUAUUUAAAUCCAUUAAAAAUGAAACUAACAUUA